AAGAGUGAAUUACAUAAAUGGUACCUGAUCUUUCACUUUCGCACGAAAACGGUACCUGAUCUUUAUUUUAUAUCGUUUAUGGUACCUCGUCACUAAAAUACCCCCUUUCCAAUUCAGAAUGACAUCCAUGUCCCAGAGGGUUGUCAAGUACUUACGAAAGUUACUCGGGUGAAGGAAGAAACGGGUGUCGUUGGCUUAGAGUUGAGUACGAAAAUUGUUGGUGUCGCCAAAGAGCAAGUCUCAAAAUAGUGGCUGACGCACGAC